AUACUACUCCCUCCGUCCGAAAAUACUUGUCAUUGAAAUGGAUGUAUCUAGAUGUAUUUUAGUUCUAGACACAUCCAUUUUGAUGACAAGUAAUUUCUGACGGAGGGAGUAUUAU
rfam:Triticum aestivum genome assembly, contig: Triticum_aestivum_CS42_TGACv1_scaffold_031267_1BL